UCCCUCAUAGCUCAGUAGGUAAAGAAUCUGCCUGCAGUGCAGGAGACCUAGGUUCGAUUCCUGGGUUGGGAA
rnacentral:tRNA from 1 species